rnacentral:rRNA from 1 species
GACGAACGCUGGCGGCGUGCUUAACACAUGCAAGUCGAACGGUGAAAGUGGAGCUUGCUCCGCUGGAUCAGUGGCGAACGGGUGAGUAACACGUGGGCAACCUGCCCCUGACUUCGGGAUAACUCCUCGAAAGAGGUGCUAAUACCGGAUACGAAUCCUGCAGGCAUCUGCGGGAUUGGAAAGUUUUUCGGUCAGGGAUGGGCCCGUGGCCUAUCAGCUUGUUGGUGAGGUAGUGGCUCACCAAGGCGACGACGGGUAGCCGGCCUGAGAGGGGGACCGGCCACACUGGGACGGGGACACGGCCCAGACUCCUACGGGAGGCAGCAGUGGGGAAUAUUGCGCAAUGGGCGAAAGCCUGACGCAGCAACGCCGCGUGAGGGAUGACGGCCUUCGGGUUGUAAACCUCUUUCAGCAGGGAAGAAGCGAAAGUGACGGUACCUGCAGAAGAAGCACCGGCUAACUACGUGCCAGCAGCCGCCGUAA